CACGUAGGGUGCGAGCGUUGUCCGGAUUUAUUGGGCGUAAAGGGCUCGUAGGCGGUUUGUUGCGUCGAGAGUGAAAUUCCAGGGCUUAACUUUGGGGUUGCUUUCGAUACGGGCAGACUUGAGGUAGGCAGGGGAGAAUGGAAUUCCUGGUGUAACGGUGGAAUGUGCAGAUAUCAGGAGGAACACCGGUGGCGAAGGCGGUUCUCUGGGCCUUACCUGACGCUGAGGAGCAAAAGCGUGGGGAGCGAACAGG
rnacentral:misc_RNA from 1 species